rnacentral:misc_RNA from 1 species
UACGUAGGUGGCAAGCGUUGUCCGGAAUUAUUGGGCGUAAAGCGCGCGCAGGCGGUCCUUUAAGUCGGAUGGGAAAGCCCACGGCCCAACCGUGGAGGGUCAUUUGAAACUGGGAGACUUGAGUGCAGAAGAGGAAAGUGGAAUUCCAUGUGUAGCGGUGAAAUGCGUAGAAAUGUAGAGGAACACCAGUGGCGAAGGCGACUUUCUGGUCUGUAACUGACGCUGAGGCGCGAAAGCGUGGGGAGCAAACAGG